CACAAACAGAAUGACUCCAAAUUACUGAACGAGAAUGAAGGAAGGACUUGGAGUGGACAGGUUGAGUGAACCGACAUCCAUAGAUAAGGACUAGGCAGUGAUAAGGCCUUGCCUGUCUUUGUUAUGAUGAAGUCCCUGGUGCUGCGAACUUAAUGAAGAACACUUCAGAGAAUCAAGGAAGGAAAGGAGAGACACUUGAGGCUGAGAAGGAAUGUGCUCUUCCUGGACUCAAGAGAAAAGAAAGAGGCAGCCAUCUGAAGCUGUGCUCACUUGCCUUCCGAAGUGCAGCAGAGAGGCAUAGUGGGACAGGCUGCUACUCCCCACUGGAGACUGCAGUGAGCAAGACUCCAGAGGGAGAUGAAGCCUGGCUUGGAACAGCCCCACUGGGCCGCCUUGCGGUUCUGUUUACCAGGAAGGAGCCGGUCGUAGACAGGGAAGUGGAAAGGGACUGGUGAAUGGGUGAGGAGGAGCCCAGACACUGGG